UUCCCUCCCCCUUUCCCGUCUCUCUCUCGUCCGCGUUUCCCUCGCACUAAGCACCAAUCCCAGUAUUACACCAGUAACGUCUUAACAAGCUGCUCUAAAGGGCUUAGCCAACAAGAUUAGGGAGCAAAAAAAAAUCUCUCUCAAUGGGCCAUCUGCCUACCUGUGGCCGCGAGCUGUUCUUCAGCACCACACCUUCCUCAGCCCACGGAGGAAAGGAGACCAUCACUUUAUUUUUCCUAGCCACUCUGCUUCUACACCUGCAUUGCUUGCUGUUUUGGGUUUUAGGCUGGGUUUCUGUGCAGCACUUUGAGAUAUCAGCUGAUCUAAGAAGGGCUUUAUAAAUAAAUGUGAUUUGACUUUAUCUAAUCACUUCAUAAUUAUUGGUGAGGGACUGAUGCGUUUGCUGGAUUUUGAACUAUGCAAUCUCGUAAGGAGGGACUAAUACCAUUUUUCAACCCCUCUGAGUUAAAACUACUACGGAUUUAAGAUGUCGGACUCUUUAUUGAAAUGUAUUUUGUGUACACUUCCGUUCAUUUUAGCGUUCGCACUUUUGGGAAUAAGAACAGAUGCUGCAUCUGGAGAAGGACCUAUUCUUCCUGAUGGACAGGAUCUUUUUUUCAAAACAGUUGUCAUUUCACCCAUUCUAUCAGUUCCUCAAAGCAUAGUUCAUUCACCUGUCCUCAAGGUUUCAAACAAGGACCAUGGAGCUACACACCGGCAGAAGCGCAAUGUCCUUUUCCCCAGCGGGGUCAAACUCUGCGGGCAGGAGAGUGUGCAACAAGCCAUCGCAAAUCAUCUCAGCUACUUUCACCUUCGAGUGUGUCAGGAGACGGUGUGGGAAGCCUUCAAGAUUUUCUGGGACCGCCUCCCAAACCAGGAGGAGUACCAGACCUGGAUGAGGCGGUGCCUGGACGGCACGACCACCGCUCUGGAGAUGGGCAACAACUUCAGCCAAUCAGAGGAGCACCUGGCUCUGGUUGAGAGUAGAAUGUCAGUGACGGGGUUAAAAAG